rnacentral:rRNA from 1 species
AUUGAACGCUGGCGGCAGGCCUAACACAUGCAAGUCGAGCGGAUGAAGGGAGCUUGCUCCUGGAUUCAGCGGCGGACGGGUGAGUAAUGCCUAGGAAUCUGCCUGGUAGUGGGGGAUAACGUCCGGAAACGGGCGCUAAUACCGCAUACGUCCUGAGGGAGAAAGUGGGGGAUCUUCGGACCUCACGCUCUCAGAUGAGCCUAGGUCGGAUUAGCUAGUUGGUGGGGUAAAGGCCUACCAAGGCGACGAUCCGUAACUGGUCUGAGAGGAUGAUCAGUCACACUGGAACUGAGACACGGUCCAGACUCCUACGGGAGGCAGCAGUGGGGAAUAUUGGACAAUGGGCGAAAGCCUGGUCCAGCCAUGCCGCGUGUGUGAAGAAGGUCUUCGGAUUGUAAAGCACUUUAAGUUGGGAGGAAGGGCAGUAAGUUAAUACCUUGCUGUUUUGACGUUACCAACAGAAUAAGCACCGGCUAACUUCGUG